AAAUUGAAGAGUUUGAUCAUGGCUCAGAUUGAACGCUGGCGGCAGGCCUAACACAUGCAAGUCGAACGGUAACAGGAGCAGCUUGCUGCUUUGCUG
rnacentral:rRNA from 1 species